CAGCCGCCGCGGUAAUACGAAGGGGGCUAGCGUUGUUCGGAAUUACUGGGCGUAAAGCGCACGUAGGCGGAUUGUUAAGUCGGGGGUGAAAUCCCAGGGCUCAACCCUGGAACUGCCUCCGAUACUGGCAUUCUUGAGUCCGAGAGAGGUGAGUGGAAUUCCGAGUGUAGAGGUGAAAUUCGUAGAUAUUCGGAAGAACACCAGUGGCGAAGGCGGCUCACUGGCUCGGUACUGACGCUGAGGUGCGGAAGCGUGGGGAGCAAACAGGAUUAGAUACCCUGGUAGUCCACGCCGUAAACGAUGGAUGCUAGCCGUUGGCCAGCUUGCUGGUCAGUGGCGCCGCUAACGCUUUAAGCAUCCCGCCUGGGGAGUACGGUCGCAAGAUUAAAACUUAAAGGAAUUGACGG
rnacentral:rRNA from 1 species